UUUACUUACUGCUUACACUGUUUACUGGCUAUAUUAGCCAAUAAACAUGGCACAACCCCUCCCUUUAUCCUUGCACUAUUGGACUUAUUUGCACUACCACCAUGACACACACUAUAGAGCACCUUAUGCACAAUAAUUGCCCUGCCCCUGCAAGCGUCUCAUUCUUAUACAUCCCUUAGUACAGUCAUAUCAAUAUCAGGGAAACUAAAACAUCAGGGCAAUGCAUUAUGAUAGAUGUUCUCACCAAUAAUUGUUAAUUUUCAUAUUUCUGCUAACUUAUGCCCUUUUGUACAGGCAAUAGUGUAGUCAGUGUGUUGUCUUUACUAUGCUUGAUUUUGCCUGACCUGUAUUUUACAGUUACCAACGUGUGUGCUUUCUGAAAUCCUAAAUGAAGUGGUACUACAGGAAGGAGAUAAGGCAUACUUAAGAUUGGCUCUUGUGUGUACCACCUUCAGGGACACUGUGUCCACUGACUCCUUCAGGAGACGGGCACAUUUUCAGUGGCUUGACAGUGUCGCUACAUGGAGCAGGUUUUCUGAGUCCUACAGAAAAGAAUUCUACACCAUGUACACCGUGGACACCUGGCGUGAAUGUGGAAUGCUUUUCAAAAACUGCACACCUGGAUAUGUUGGAACAGGACAAAGGGGUGUACUUGAAGCAGUUUACUCCGAAGACCCACAUCCAGGUUACUGCGAUCACUUUUGCAGCCAAAUGCUAUAGGUAAAAAUAAGGUGUUUGUGUAUAACAAAGGGGUGUGGGGGAAAAAAUAAUUGAAUAUGUAUUUGCUACAUUUAUUUACUUAUUUUCUCUUGUGAAAACGGACACGUAUACUACCUGUUGGCAGACAACCCUGAGCCAGCUGGAUGUUUUUCAAGCUGCAGGCCACCGUGACAAUUUGUGGCUGGAAACUUGGGAUUGAAUUUUGAAUACUCCAGUGUUAUU